GAAGCUGGUAACGUAGAGUGGAGAGGAGGAGGAGGAAAGCAGCAGAGACUGCCCGGGGGAAGGCAGAGAGUGGGGGCAGGACGGCAGGGGCUGCCCAGGGAAAGGUGGAGGGCAGCAGCAGGAGGGCAGGGAGGAGGUACAGAGCUUUCAGAUGCUGAGCUUCAACAGAAAGACCUGAUGGAAAAGAAAAGAGACUAACUUGUUUAGCAAAAGUACUCUCUGGAAUUUCCCAAAUCACUUAUUUAUUGAAGGGAGUCAUUUGUUGGUCAUUGUCAUCACGAGAGGUCCCUUCCAACCUAAACCAUUCAAUGAAGUCUUUUAUCAGCUCCUAGGAUUAGUGACAGUGGGGAAUGUUUGCUUGCUAUGAGCUGAGGGAGCUGUUUCCUAAAUGGAAUGUUCAUUAGUUCUUUAGCACCUGAAAAUGUUGGCAGGCUACUUGAUAAACCUCCUGGAACACAGGGGCCUGUUGAAUUGUUUUCCCAGUGCCUGAACAACUUGCAGUGCUGUAAUGGGUUAGCCUCCUGUUUCCCUCCAACACAGAAGUGAGGCAAAAGUAACACAGCCAAGGAAAAACCCUCUGGGUUGAGAUCAAGAGGUAAAUACAAAAUGAGAUCCUGCAGUGCACAAUUACCUUAGCCUGUUUCUGUUUGCAGAAAGCAGGAGUCAGCCACCUGCCACCCAUCCCCUCCUGACCCCAACCCCAGAAACCCAAAGCAGCACUUGGCACAGGAGGUCUCUCGUGUUGCAGUCUCAACUUCAAGCCCUGGAAUACUUUGCUUCAGCCAGCAGCAUGGGGUUGGAUACCAACAGCAGAGUCGACUUAACCUGUGACUAAGUGAACUUUAAGUGUUCUGACUCCACAGUGGAACCUGAUAAAGAAAGAUGUGAAUGGAAGCAGGCUCUGACUGCUCUGUGUAACUGAUGAGAAGCUUUCUGAAGGAGGUGAAUUUGUUUUACAGCCCUUCCCUCAGCUGGUUACAGAUCUUCAAGGUAGCUGCUGGUGCAGUGUCUGUUGGAGACUGUUAGCCACUCUGAAGGAGGGAGUUAGUGGAGCAUCAUAGGAACAUGUAGAGAGAUUGGUCAGGAAAAGGCAUUUGUGUUACCCUUUUGAGUCAUUUGAGUCACUUUUAUUGUAAUCCCAUGGCUGAGAGCAGGACUCCUUUGUGUCCAGGGUUAAAAUCUUCAAGGAGAAACAGUGCCAAGGCUCUGAAUUGAUUGGGACUUGGUGCUGCUAGUUACAAUGUAGGACAGUUAAGGCAGUCCUGUGUUUUGUGAUUUGCCUUUUUUCCUACCGUUCUAGUUUUGGCUCGGGCUAGUGUGAAGUGUCUCUGGAACGAGGUCCUUGUGGUCCCUUCUGACCCUGACUGAUUCUGUGAUUCCAGCAAGCAGCUUUUGACUUAAAAACCCCUGAGGUCACUGCAGCACCUCUCUAUGGAAUAAAAGAAAGGGAUUUUGCUGCACUGCUGAGAACUGUUUCCAGCUCUGAGCCUUUGUUGUUGUGGUUGUUUUUGGUUCGUGUUUAUAAACAGCAGUAGCUAAGCAAUCCUCUCUGAGCUAUGGACCAGAAUCUGCUGCAUCCUGUGCAAGAAGCAGAUCCCAGUGUGAUCUGGUGCAGCUGUAGCACUUCCUAACUGCUAGGUUUGGGAGGAGGGCAUGUGUCUCAGUCGUUUCUGAGCUGUGAUAGCAAUCAGGUGUCUGCUUAAGUCUUGACCCUCUGCCACGUGCUGCCACGUUCACCAGAUCUUUCUCCCGGCUUCAGGGAGAGAAGGAGUGUCCAGCUCCCAGAGUGGGUGUCAGAAGCGAUGUGAAGUGAAAGGGGUUUGCUGAGGUCAUGUAGGAAGUUGUGUGAGGGAAUGUGGCAGUUUGGUUUUUGAUUUCUUCAGUCUCUAAAGUUUUUCUUGGAGCAGCUUCACUGCAAUCCUUUUAAAUGCACAGAGUAUCAGCACAGGCCCUUUUAGACAGUCCUCCAGCUUUGCUGCAGGUCCCUUUCAGAUACUGCAGCGUAGCUCGAAGCUCUGCCUUCUCUUCUGCAGCCUCCACAGCCCCAGUUCUUUCAGUCCUGCUUCCCAGGAGAGGUGCUGCAGUCCUCUGCUCCUCUUUGUGGCCCUCAUCUGGCAGAAGAGCUGUGUUUUUCCUCUAGCUGCUGCAGAACGGCCUUAAUUCUGGUGUCAGCAGCUCCCCCUGUGUCUCCUCUGCUGUCUGUAAAUCCCUCCAGAGUAGAUCAAGGAAGUGCUGAGUAGCCCCAGCUGGAGUUGAGAGCUGUCCCUAUAAAGUGAGUGUGUAGGAGUGGCAGAGCGUGGGCUGUGCCUUGCGUGCGGUGUGCUGUUGGCAAAGGCAAUAGGCAGAGCGGCGCUGGGCUGAAGGCGCUGCCCCCGGCCGGGCGCAGAGGCGCUCUCGGUUGUGUGUGCUGCCCUCCGGUGUUUGCUCGUGGGUACUGCAGUUGUGUAGCGGCUGCGGUGUGGCGCCGGUGCUGAGUGCUGCCACCGUGUGUUUGCUUGUCCACACUGCAGUUCCUCAGCCGCGGCGGUCGCCCGUUUUCCUGCCUCGUCUCUAAAGGCCGUGCACGAUUGAAGUGGCUGAAAGCUGAGGGGAGGAGAGGAGGGGAAGGUGAGAGGUGGGAGGGAGAGCUGAGAACUGGUUUGGAUUUGUAAGUAUUCGAGUGAGGAGUUAAAAGCGGCAGGCACCGGGGGCGGGGCGGUGCUCCGGGGUCGUAUUAUUGCUAGGGACCUUUGCGCAUGCGCCUUGCCGCGGCCCCCCCCCGUUGCUAUAGAGGUUCGCGCAUGCGCCGUGUCGCGGCUCGUUGCUAUGGAGCACGGUCCCAGCGAACUGCAGUGCCGACAAUUAAACACAGGGUGGCAGCAGCGAGCACGGUCCCCAGGGAGCUGCAGUGCCGACAAUUAAACACACGGUGGCAGCAGCGAGCACGGUCCCCAGCGAACUGCAGUGCCGACAAUUAAACACAGGGUGGCAGCAGCGAGCACGGUCCCCAGGCAGCCGUGCCGCCCCCGGUUGCUAUGGAGUUUCGCGCAUGCGCCGUGCCGCGGCCCCGCCCCCCGUUGCUAUGGGGGUUCGCGGCGCCGCCCCCGGUUGCUAUGGAGUUUCGCGCAUGCGCCGUGCCGCGGCCCCGCCCCCCGUUGCUAUGGGGGUUCGCGGCGCCGCCCCCGGUUGCUAUGGAGUUUCGCGCAUGCGCCGUGCCGCGGCCCCGCCCCCCGUUGCUAUGGAGGUUCGCGGCGCCGCCCCCGGUUGCUAUGGACUUUCGCGCAUGCGCCGUGCCGCGGCCCCGCCCCCCGUUGCUAUGGAGGUUCGCGCAUGCGCCGUGUCGCGGCUCGUUGCUAUGGAGCACGGUCCACAGCGAACUGCAGUGCCGACAAUUAAACACACGGUGGCAGCAGCGAGCACGGUCCCCAGCGAGCUGCAGUGCCUACAAUUAAACACAGGGUGGCAGCAGGGAGCACGGUCCCCAGGGAGCUGCAGUGCCGACAAUUAAACACAGGGUGGCAGCAGGGAGCACGGUCCCCAGGGAGCUGCAGUGCCGGCAGUUAAACACAGGGUGGCAGCAGCGAGCACGGUCCCCAGGGAGCUGCAGUGCCGGCAGUUAAGCACAGGGUGGCAGCAGCGAGCACGGUCCCCAGGGAGCUGCAGUGCCGGCAGUUAAGCACAGGGUGGCAGCAGUGAGCGCUGCGCGCAUGCGUUGGGUCGCUGUGCGGGGGGCGGAGCUGGCGCAUGCGUCCUGCUCUGCCGCCUCGUUACGCAUGCGGGGCCGGGGCCGUGCUGAGAGGCCUGCGGGGGGAAGGCUGCGGCGGCAGCGGCGUGGAGCGGCAGCGGGGCCGGGCCGGGCCGGGCCGAGGAGGGCUUUGCAGUGCCGGGAGCUGAACUGCUUUGCCCCAGCCCAGCUGCAGAUCUGCACUCAGCCUCAGCCCCAAGCCCUGGCAGGGUGGGAUGCUUUGGUACCAGGCCGUGGAGCUGUUUGAAAUGCAAUUGCUGCUUGCAGCUGGUUCAGAAAUGGAUUUCCUGUGGCUGUGGGGGCAGAAAUGUCUCUGUGAUGCUGACAGAGCAGCUGGAUGAGCAGAAAGCCUCUCGUGCAAACGGCUGUGGAGUGCUUCUCUCUGUUCCCUGCUGCUGGGAGGUGCUGACAGGUUAGGGUUUGCAGGGAGGCAGAUCUCGCGGAGAAGGGCUGAACUCACUGUGCAAGGACACUGCACAAUCCAGUGUGGAUCAAAAGCGAGUGACAACUUUAUUUAGUAGCCACACGCUUAUAUGUGUUACAGAUAAUUUAUGCAUACAUGUAAGAAGCUAAAUGGCUGAAUCCCUAAAUACCCCAUUUGCUCUGCUUGAGUUGUCUGCUGACUCAUCAAGGACAGUGCCUCCCUGGCUAGUUAUAUUAAAUGCUGCCUUUGUUUAUUCAA